ensembl:rRNA 5S_rRNA 5S ribosomal RNA
GCUUACGGCCAUACCACCCUGAGAACGCCCGAUUUCGUCUGAUCUCGGAAGCUAAGCAGUGUCGGGCCUGGUUAGUACUUGGAUGGGAGACUGCCUAGGAAUACCAGGUGCUGUAAGCU